rnacentral:tRNA from 1 species
GCUAGUGUAGCAGAGCCUGGCAAUGCAAAAGACUUAAACCCUUUACAUCAGAGGUUCAAAUCCUCUCCCUAGCU